rnacentral:rRNA from 1 species
GACGAACGCUGGCGGCGUGCUUAACACAUGCAAGUCGAACGGAAAGGCCCUGCUUUUGUGGGGUGCUCGAGUGGCGAACGGGUGAGUAACACGUGAGUAACCUGCCCUUGACUUUGGGAUAACUUCAGGAAACUGGGGCUAAUACCGGAUAGGAGCUCCUGCUGCAUGGUGGGGGUUGGAAAGUUUCGGCGGUUGGGGAUGGACUCGCGGCUUAUCAGCUUGUUGGUGGGGUAGUGGCUUACCAAGGCUUUGACGGGUAGCCGGCCUGAGAGGGUGACCGGCCACAUUGGGACUGAGAUACGGCCCAGACUCCUACGGGAGGCAGCAGUGGGGAAUAUUGCACAAUGGGCGGAAGCCUGAUGCAGCAACGCCGCGUGCGGGAUGACGGCCUUCGGGUUGUAAACCGCUUUCGCCUGUGACGAAGCGUGAGUGACGGUAAUGGGUAAAGAAGCACCGGCUAACUACGUGCCAGCAGCCGCGGUGAUACGUAGGGUGCGAGCGUUGUCCGGAUUUAUUGGGCGUAAAGGGCUCGUAGGUGGUUGAUCGCGUCGGAAGUGUAAUCUUGGGGCUUAACCCUGAGCGUGCUUUCGAUACGGGUUGACUUGAGGAAGGUAGGGGAGAAUGGAAUUCCUGGUGGAGCGGUGGAAUGCGCAGAUAUCAGGAGGAACACCAGUGGCGAAGGCGGUUCUCUGGGCCUUUCCUGACGCUGAGGAGCAAAAGCGUGGGGAGCGAACAGGCUUAGAUACCCUGGUAGUCCACGCUGUAAACGGUGGGUACUAGGUGUGGGGUCCAUUCCACGGGUUCCGUGCCGUAGCUAACGCUUUAAGUACCCCGCCUGGGGAGUACGGCCGCAAGGCUAAAACUCAAAGGAAUUGACGGGGCCCCGCACAAGCGGCGGAGCAUGCGGAUUAAUUCGAUGCAACGCGUAGAACCUUACCUGGGUUUGACAUGGAUCGGGAGUGCUCAGAGAUGGGUGUGCCUCUUUUGGGGUCGGUUCACAGGUGGUGCAUGGCUGUCGUCAGCUCGUGUCGUGAGAUGUUGGGUUAAGUCCCGCAACGAGCGCAACCCUUGUUCACUGUUGCCAGCACGUUAUGGUGGGGACUCAGUGGAGACCGCCGGGGUCAACUCGGAGGAAGGUGGGGAUGACGUCAAGUCAUCAUGCCCCUUAUGUCCAGGGCUUCACGCAUGCUACAAUGGCUGGUACAGAGAGUGGCGAGCCUGUGAGGGUGAGCGAAUCUCGGAAAGCCGGUCUCAGUUCGGAUUGGGGUCUGCAACUCGACCUCAUGAAGUCGGAGUCGCUAGUAAUCGCAGAUCAGCAACGCUGCGGUGAAUACGUUCCCGGG